UACGGAGGAUGCGAGCGUUAUCCGGAUUUAUUGGGUUUAAAGGGUGCGUAGGCGGAAUGUCAAGUCAGCGGUCAAAUCGCGGGGCUCAACCUCGCUUCGCCGUUGAAACUGGUGUUCUUGAGUGGGCGAGAAGUAUGCGGAAUGCGUGGUGUAGCGGUGAAAUGCAUAGAUAUCACGCAGAACUCCGAUUGCGAAGGCAGCAUACCGGCGCCCAACUGACGCUCAUGCACGAAAGCGUGGGUAUCGAACAGG
rnacentral:rRNA from 1 species